rnacentral:rRNA from 1 species
CAGAGACUGCAAGCGUUAUUCGGAUUCACUGGGCGUAAAGGGUGCGCAGGCGGCCAAGUGUGUGAGGCGUGAAAGCCCGAUGCUUAACAUCGGAAUUGCACCUCAAACUACAUGGCUAGAGCAUUGGAGAGGGUAGCGGAAUUCACGGUGUAGCAGUGAAAUGCGUAGAUAUCGUGAGGAACACCAGAGGCGAAGGCGGCUACCUGGACAAUUGCUGACGCUCAGGCACGAAAGCGUGGGGAGCAAAAGGGAUUAGAUACCCCUGUAGUCCACGCCCUAAACGGUGCACACUAGGUCUUGAUGGAUUCGACCCCAUCAGGGCCCAAGCUAACGCGUUAAGUGUGCCGCCUGAGGACUACGGCCGCAAGGCUA